rnacentral:tRNA from 1 species
GCUAUAGCUCAGUUGGUUAGAGUACCAGGUUGUGGCCCUGGGGGUCGUGGGUUCGAGUCCCACUAGC